rnacentral:rRNA from 1 species
UUCCAGAGUACGGCCAGACACGUGAAACCUGGUCGGAAGAUGGGGGGACCACCCUCCAACCCUAAAUACUACCCAGUGACCGAUAGCGUAUAGUACUGUGAAGGAAAGGUGAAAAGCACCCCGGGAGGGGAGUGAAAAAGAACCUGAAACCCUGUGCCUACAAGCACCUAGAGCACGUCAAUGUGUGAUAGGGUACUUUUUGUAGAACGGUCCGGCGAGCGAUUGUAUGCAGCAAGGUUAAGGACUUAAGGUCUGGAGCCGAAGCGAAAGCGAGUUUGAAAAGGGCGUUAAGUUGCAUAUAAUGGGCCCGAAACCGGGUGACCUACCCAUGGUCAGGUUGAAGUGGAAGUAAAAUUCCAUGGAGGACCGAACCGACCUCCGUUGAAAAGGCGGCGGAUGAACUGUGGGUAGCGGAGAAAUUCCAAUCGAACCCGGAGAUAGCUGGUUCUCCCCGAAAUAGUUUUAGGACUAGCCUCAAGUUAGAUACCUGGAGGUAAAGCACUGAAUAGCCUAGCGGCCGAGAGGUUAGCGAAGCUUAUCAAACUCAGAAUGCCAGAGUAUUGAUGCUUGGGAGUCAGACAGUGUCAGAUAAAUGUCAUUGUCAAAAGGGAAACAGCCCAGAUCUACAGCUAAGGUCCCAAAGUCAGGUUAAGUGGAAAACGAUGUGAAGAUACGCAGACAACCAGGAUGUUGGCUCAGAAGCAGCCACUCAUUCAAAGAGUGCGUAAUAGCUCACUGGUCGAGCGUCUUUGCGCGGAGAAUUUAACGGGGCUAAACCUGACACCGAAGCUUAGGCAAUCCAGCAAUGGAUUGGGUAGGGGAGCGUUGUAUACGCGGAGAAACAGUAGCGUAAGCGGCUGUGGAGUGUAUAGAAGUGAGAAUGCCGGAAUGAGUAGCGCGAAUGCAGUGAGAAUCUGCAUGGCCGAAAGCCUCAGGUUUUUGGAGGAAGGUUCGUCCGCUCCAAGUUAGUCGGGAGCUAAGGUGAGGCCGGAAGGCGUAGCCGAUGCACAGACGGUAGAGAUUCCGUCACCACCAAAAGAGUUAAGCACAGGGACACAUUUGAAGUCUCAGAGCCGGGUGUUGGUUCCGGUAGAGAUCGAGGGAAAUUAGUACCGAAGUCUGGGAUGGAAGAUGGCGAGAAAAGCUGUGUGUAUUUCUGAGGUGCCCGUACCGCAAACCGACACAGGUAGGUAGGAAGAAGAUUCUAAGGCCAACGGGAGAAGGGUUGUUAAGGAACUCGGCAAAUUGACCCCGUAACUUCGGGAGAAGGGGUGCUCCAGAGAUGGAGCCGCAGAGAAUCGGCCCAAGCAACUGUUUACCAAAAACACAGGUUUGUGCUAAAUCGAAAGAUGACGUAUACGAGCUGACGCCUGCCCGGUGCUGGAAGGUUAAGAGGAGAUGUGCAAGCAUUGAAUCGAAGCCCCAGUGAACGGCGGCCGUAACUAUAACGGUCCUAAGGUAGCGAAAUUCCUUGUCAGGUAAGUUCUGACCCGCAUGAAAGGCGUAAUGAUUUGGGCACUGUCUCAACAGCCCGCCCGGCGAAAUUGUAGUACCGGUGAAGAUGCCGGUUACCCGCGACAAGACGGAAAGACCCCAUGGAGCUUUACUGUAGCCUAAUAUUGGGUUUCGAUGUUGCAUGCACAGGAUAGAUGGGACACUGGGAAACAAUCGCUUUGGCGGUUGCGGAGUGGCCGUUGGGAUACCAUCCUUGCGAUAUUGGAAUUCUAACCUGCGGCUCUGAAUCGAGUCGGGGGACAUUGUUAGGUGGGCAGUUUGACUGGGGCGGUCGCCUCCUAAAAAGUAACGGAGGCGUUCAAAGGUUCGCUCAGCUUGAACGGAAAUCAAGCAAAAGAGUGCAAACGCAGAAGCGAGCCUAACUGCGAGACUGACGGGUCGAGCAGUAACGAAAGUUGGAGUUAGUGAUCCGGUGGUAUGUGAGUGGAAAUGCCAUCGCUCAACGGAUAAAAG